rnacentral:rRNA from 1 species
GGAAUCUUCCGCAAUGGACGAAAGUCUGACGGAGCAACGCCGCGUGAGUGAUGAAGGCUUUCGGGUCGUAAAACUCUGUUGUUAGGGAAGAACAAGUGCUAGUUGAAUAAGCUGGCACCUUGACGGUACCUAACCAGAAAGCCACGGCUAACUACGUGCCAGCAGCCGCGGUAAUACGUAGGUGGCAAGCGUUAUCCGGAAUUAUUGGGCGUAAAGCGCGCGCAGGUGGUUUCUUAAGUCUGAUGUGAAAGCCCACGGCUCAACCGUGGAGGGUCAUUGGAAACUGGGAGACUUGAGUGCAGAAGAGGAAAGUGGAAUUCCAUGUGUAGCGGUGAAAUGCGUAGAGAUAUGGAGGAACACCAGUGGCGAAGGCGACUUUCUGGUCUGUAACUGACACUGAGGCGCGAAAGCGUGGGGAGCAAACA